rnacentral:rRNA from 1 species
AUUGAACGCUGGCGGAAUGCUUUACACAUGCAAGUCGAACGGCAGCACGGACUUCGGUCUGGUGGCGAGUGGCGAACGGGUGAGUAAUGUAUCGGAACGUGCCCAGUCGUGGGGAAUAACGUAGUGAAAAUUACGCUAAUACCGCAUACGAUCUAUGGAUGAAAGCGGGGGAUCGCAAGAACUCGCGCGAUUGGAGCGGCCGAUAUCAGAUUAGGUAGUUGGGGGGGUAAAGGCCCACCAAGCCAACGAUCUGUAGCUGGUCUGAGAUGACGACCAGCAAAACUGGAACUGAGACACGGUCCAGACUCCUACGGGAGGCAGCAUUGGGGAAUUUUGGACGAUGGGCGAAAGCCUGAUCCAGCCAUUCCGCGUGCAGGAUGAAGGCCCUCGGGUUGUAAACUGCUUUUGUACAGAACGAAAAGGUUUCUACUAAUACUAGGAGCUCAUGACGGUACUGUAAGAAUAAGCACCGGCUAACUACGUGCCAGCCGCCGCCGUAA